UUAGAGUUUGAUCAUGGCUCAGAACGAACGCUGGCAGCGUGGAUUAGGCAUGCAAGUCGAACGAGAAUCUGCGUCUUCAAUCUUUCGAGAGAGAAGACGUGGAGGACAGUGGCGGAAGGGUGAGUAACGCGUGGGCAAUCUGCCCCUGAGUUGGGGACAACCUGCCGAAAGGCUGGCUAAUACCGAAUACGGUGCCUCGUCGCAUGGCGAGGUUUCUAAAGGUGGGGAUCCUUCGGGACCUGCCGCUUGGGGAGGAGCCCGCGUCCCAUCAGCUUGUUGGUAAGGUAACGGCUUACCAAGGCUUACGGGUAGCUGGUCUGAGAGGAUGGUCAGCCACACUGGGACUGAUACACUGCCCAGACUCCUACGGGAGGCUGCAGUCGAGGAUCAUUCGCAGUGCGCGAAAGCGUGACGAUGCGACGCUGCGUGGAGGAUGACGGCUUUCGGGUUGUAAACUCCUGUCAUCCGGGAAGAACGGCCCUGCACUGAAUAACUGCAGGGUGUGACGGUACCGGAAGAGGAAGCCACGGCUAACUCUGUGCCAGCAGCCGCGGUAAUACAGACGUGGCGAGCGUUGUUCGGAUUUACUGGGCGUAAAGGGUGCGUAGGCGGCUUCAUGUGUCGGGCGUGAAAGCUCACUGCUCAACGGAGAAAUUGCGUCCGAAACUGCAGAGCUUGAUGACAGGAAGGGAGAGCGGAAUUCUUGGUGUAACGGUGAAAUGCGUUGAUAUCAAGAAGAGCACCGGUGGGCGAAGGCAGCUCUCUGGAAUGUUUCUGACGAUGAGGGCACGAAAAGGGGGGGAGCAAACAGGAUUAGAUACCAUGGUAGUCCCAGCUGUAAACGGUGCGCAUUUGGUGUAUGGGGGUAUUGACCCCCCUUGUGCCGGAGCUAACGCGAUAAGUGCGCCGCCUGAGGAGUACGGCCGCAAGGCUAAAACUCAAAGAAAUUGACGGGGGCCCGCACAAGCGGAGGAGCAUGUGGCUUAAUUCGAUGCAACGCGAAGAACCUUAACAGGGCUUGACAUCUAGUUGCACGUCCCCUGAAAGGGGAGAAGCCUUCGAGGGUGCUAGACAGGUGCUGCAUGGCUGUCGUCAGUUCGUUCCGUGAGGUGUUGGGUUAAGUCCCGCAACGAACGCAACCCCUGUGUUUAGUUGCCACCGGUGGUGAUGAGCCGCCGAGCACUUUAAACAGACUGCCCGUACAAGCGGGAGGAAGGUGGGGAUGAGGUCAAGUCAGUAUGGCCCUUACGCCCUGGGCUGCACACGUGCUACAAUGGCCGGUACAGAAGGAUGCAAUACCGCGAGGUGGAGCAAAUCCCCAAAGCCGGCCUCAGUUCGGAUUGGAGUCUGCAACUCGACUCCAUGAAGUUGGAUUCGCUAGUAACGGCGCAUCAGCUACGGCGCCGUGAAUACGUUCCCGGGCCUUGUACACACCGCCCGUCACAUCAUGAAAGCCGUCUGCACCCGAAGUCGCUGAUCCAACCCGCAAGGGAGGAAGGUGCCGAAGGUGUGGGUGGUGAUUGGGAUGAAGUCGUAACAAGGUAACC
rnacentral:rRNA from 1 species